ACGGAAGGCAGCAGUGGGGAAUAUUGGGCAAUGGGCGCAAGCCUGACCCAGCAAUGCCGCGUGAAGGAAGAAGGCUUUCGGGUUGUAAACUUCUUUUAAGUGGGACGAUAAUGACGGUACCACUUAAAUAAGCUCCGGCUAACUACGUGCCAGCAGCCGCGGUAAUACGUAGGGAGCAAGCGUUAUCCGGAUUUACUGGGUGUAAAGGGCGUGUAGGCGGGACUACAAGUCAGAUGUGAAAGCACGAGGCUCAACUUCGUGUCUGCAUUUGAAACUGUAGUUCUUGAGUGUUGGAGAGGCUAACGGAACUCCUAGUGUAGCGGUGAAAUGCGUAGAUAUUAGGAAGAACACCAGUGGCGAAGGCGGUUAGCUGGACAAUAACUGACGCUGAGGCGCGAAAGCGUGGGCAGCAAACAGGAUUAGAUACCCUGGUA
rnacentral:rRNA from 1 species